rnacentral:rRNA from 1 species
CACGGGGGUUGGAGGGCAAGUCUGGUGCCAGCAGCCGCGGUAAUUCCAGCUCCAAUAGCGUAUAUUAAAGUUGUUGCAGUUAAAAAGCUCGUAGUUGAAUUUCGGGAUCAGUAGGUCGGUCAUGCCUAUGGUAUGUACUGGUUUUACUGGUUCCUCCUUCUUGAUGAUCUGUAAUGUCAUUAAUUUGGUGUUGCAGGGAGUCAGGACUGUUACUUUGAAAAAAUUAGAGUGUUUAAAGCAGGCAUACGCUUGAAUACAUUAGCAUGGAAUAAUGAAAUAGGACGUUCGAUCCUAUUUUGUUGGUUUCUAGGAUUGACGUAAUGAUUAAUAGGGAUAGUUGGGGGCAUUAGUAUUCAAUUGUCAGAGGUGAAAUUCUUGGAUUUAUUGAAGACUAACUACUGCGAAAGCAUUUGCCAAG